GUGUGUGUGUGUGUGUGUGUGUGUGUGUGUGUGUGUGUGUGUGUGUGUGUGUGUGUGUGUGUGUGUUGUGUCUCGUUGACUCUAAAAUGCAGGAUUGGGACAAUAACAGGAUGUGUCCUUCCCAGAAAAUGUCACAAAUCAUCGAGUUAUCAAACAUGGCGGCAGUCAUCGUAGAUAUGCCAUUGUUUCUCUGAGUGUGGUUUUUGCCUUUGCAUGCAAAUGCCUCAGCUACUCACAAAAAGCAUUAACCGUGUAUGGCAGCAGUUAUAUAAUGCACAGAACGCACAAAUCCAUUUAAAAAAAUAAAGUCACAACACAUCUGAACCAUAAAGGACUCUUUCUCUCAACUUUCCAUACGUGCAUGCUGGCUUUGAGAACCGCGAGUAACACUAAUGAGGUGUGGCCUCUGAAAACACGGCGAUCAGCUGUGCAGAAGAAUUACACUGACCAAGCUGGCAGCUGUUUGUGAAGAAGAGGCUCCUGUGAUAGACGCUUUUCCAGAUUUCAAGGCAACCCUUGGACAUUAGCCUGUGCUGUCUGUGUCAGAUCACAUUUAACCCUGAUGCAUUUAAGGACAAAGCAUCGGCCUGACAUUUGUGCUGAUUCCUCUGGGCUCUUUACCCAGAAUGCAGCUUGCUUGGGAAUUGCUCGGACAUGGAAGGGAACAUCCCUGUGGGAAGGCAGCAGGCACACAAGAGUACACAGUGAGACGAGGAAGAAAAAUAAAUAAAAAUAACAUGCACGCAUACUCAGAGAUGACACAUUUGGUCACAUGCAUACAUAAAGACACGCUGAAAACAUUGUGACACUGGGAUAAAAGUGUGAAAGAGAUGGAAAGAUGGAAGCAUCCCAGUCCAGACACAGAGACACAACAGAAGCCUUCCAAGCUUUUAAAUUCAGCUUAGAUGUCUUUAAUUUCCAAACAUUUUUUCUGCCACUGGAGCUAAACCAUGUGUCUUUUCUUUCUUAGCGAAAGAGCUUGGCUCUGUGAAAUGGGCCUCCGUUAUGGGCUACGGUGUUAUCAAGACCAAACUCAACUGUCAGCCAAAUCAUGUUCAAUCUGCAUGUGUUGCUUUUGAUUUUACCCAGAUCAAUAGCUGUCCUUACUUGACUUAAACACACACACACACUCAGAGGGAAGGGGGAGGGCAUGCAGAUCUGUGGCUCUGGUGUGUCAAAGUCAGCGAGUGCGUGGGAGGAAACGUUCAACAUGAGCUGCCCUGGCAGCCUGCAGUGAAGGGAAAAGAAAGUGAGAAAGAAAAAAGAGAGAAAAAAUAGUGGGGUCUAUACCACACUGCUUGCUGUGUGCGCCCUAUUUGAAGGUAUACCGUAAGCUGAAUCUAUAAAGGUGAGAUAAUCCUCUACUAUUAAAGGUCAUUGCUCCAGACUUGGGUUUAACUCUGGCCUGUGAUUCCUGCCUUUUUAAUGUUUCACCAAAGCACAGUUCAAAUUCAUGUGAAAAAUCACUGGAAACGCAGCUCAGAUAAGUAAAUAAUAUCGCUUUUUGUGUACCUGACUUAUCAAACAACACGUGACGCUGCCACCAGGAUUUGAAGAUAAGGUUGUAUUCGAGUCACUGUGCAUCAGCACAAACCUUUCAACAAGCUUCUCUCUACAAGCUCUCUGCCUGGAAUAAUGCUGAGUCUGCUUUCAACACCUACACCGUGACAAUAAGGAUCCGAGAGCGUCACCGUCUGCAAGCGCUGACCCAACUUCCUCUGUGUGCACUCAACAGAAAUGAUAAGGCUUCCACUUCCCCCUCCACCCUGACUCGGGCAAACAGCUGCCCUGCAGCCCCAGACUGGGUCCUCCGUGUCAGCAUCGGGCCUGACUGCACGUUGCUCUGUGUGGACUUGAUGGAGCACGCAGAUAAGGCGCACUGUUGUGGCUGGGUUUCCUUUAAAGCAGUAUGCGAUCGUUGGAGGAUAGGUUCUAGCAAGUAACCCCUAUGUUUGGAUCCCUUUGUGUCUGCUUGUGUGUGCAUGUAUGGACUGAGUAUCAUGGAAAAGCACUCAUAUCCUUCAUUUAAACAAAGCAAUAUAGCGGUCCAAAAAUACGUCAUUAUGUGCACGUGCAAAUCUGUUUCUUUAUCUUUAUUUUUUUUUAUAAUUAUCAGCAAAAUCUCUUUUAAGCAUCAAAAGUGAAAACACUCAUUCAGUAGAAAAUAAUGACCAAACAUGAUUGAUGGUGUUUUUAUUUGUGUGUGGUUUUUAUGUCUAAGAUCCUUGUUUAUUCUUGUAAAUGAGCUCUAACCUGCAGGAUUUCCAAAGCGGUCAUAUAUCAAGUACAGAAAUGACAUCGUGACUUUGCACUGCUGUACCUACUCCAACCAGUCCUUUAUGGACACUUAAAAUAUCUUUAUGAAACUGUUGUUAUAUUUGUUGCAAUCUUUGCUGCCCUCUUGGCCUGAUCUCCAAAAAAUUAAAUUAUAAUGAGACUUUUUACCGGGGUAAAUAAAGAAUAUAUAAAAGUCA